CCCUUAGAUGUUCUGGGCUGCACGCGCGCUACACUGAUGCGCUCAACGAGUUUUAACCUUGCCUGGAAAGAUUGGCUAAUCUUUUUAAAAUGCAUCGUGAUGGGGAUAGAUUAUUGCAAUUAUUAAUCUUCAACGAGGAAUUCCUAGUAAGCGCGAGUCAUCAGCUCGUGCUGAUUACGUCCCUGCCCUUUGUACACACCGCCCGUCGCUCCUACCGAUUGAGUGCUCAGGUGAAUAAUUCGGACUGCAGCAGUGUUUGGAUCCCGAACGCUGCAGCGGAAAGUUUAGUGAACCUUAUCACUUAGAGGAAGGAGAANUCGUANCA
rnacentral:rRNA from 1 species